CCCACCAAUUUUUUCUCGGACCCAUACUAAAUGGGCGAUUGAAUUUAGCGGCCGCGAAUUCGCCCUUGGAGUUUGAUCCAGGAUGAGGACCAACUCUGGCGUUUUGCCCUACGCCUCUCCUUCAAGGAAAAGACCACUUCACCCACGGCUUCCUGGCUUGACGGGCGGAACGCAUGGAUAAUCUGAACUUUUCCCCGCAUCAUGCAUGAAAUCUUAUUACUAUAUCUUAUGACUUCUCCGGGUCAAAUCUUCGACCCCGAUCGAUGAUGCUGCCGGUGAUAUACAUCCGCAUCCCUUUGUGGCUUACCUUCCCUCUGAUCCGACCCUGGUCUGAGAGGACGAUCCCAGGACCUGGAACUGGUGAUGAUUUGACGCUCCUACCACCUUCCUCACGGGUUGAAUUUUGGACAAUGGGGGAAACCCUGAUCUGACGAGCCGGCGUGUGGGAUGAAUGGGUUAUGCUCGUGUAAACCACUGUCAGCAGAGAAGAAAAGGUUCCUUUGACACCCGGGACUGUAUCUGCUGAAGAAGGACCGGCUAACUAAGUGCCUCUGCUCCUGUCAUCUCCCAUUUGUCCCCUGGUUAUCCGGAAUUACUUAUCAUAAAGGGUGCGUCAUGCGCCUUGUGCGUCGAAGGUUACAGGCCAUGGCUCUACCAUGGAAAUGCCCUCAAUACGGCCAGACUUGAGUAUGAGAGAGGAUUAUGGAAGUCCUGGUGUACCAAUGAAAUGCGUACUUAUCUCGAGGAAUUCCGGUGUCGAAUACCGGUCUUCUGGCUCAUUACUGACUCUGAGGCCUUACAGUGUUGGGAGCCAAUAUGGUUUUGUACCCUUGGUAUUCCCCAUCGUAAAUCAUUUAUGCAUGGUGGUAUAUCACCUUGUCGUCCUAUGGUCGGACAUACUUCCCUUAGCUCACCACCUAGCGAAAUCCGAUCGCGAUGUUGAAACUAACUGGAAUUGAUCGGCGCCCGACAUAGUCGGUGGACUUAUGUGCUUUAUUUACGAUACAGAUCCCAGGAUCCCUUACCCGAGCCUUGCAGUGUACCGGAGUCGUCGGCACAGGUUGUUGCCCGUUCAGAGUACGUUACAGGUAGGUGUCAGCUCGGCUAGUCCGUCAGAGUCGUGUUCGUUGCGGUGUCAAGAGUCAGUUCCCACACCAGAGGGGCAGUUCUUUCUUUUUAGCUGCAAUGCAUGGUUAUGCCUCGUGACUCCAAUGAACCAUGACUUCCCCCAACGGGGGGAGGCAAGGUGGGGGGAUCUGAGUCUAGUUCUUUCAUGUGCACCCCUUAUUGUUCUGGAGCGCUUCAUCAUCUUGAGGGAUGACUCACCUAUUGAU
rnacentral:rRNA from 1 species